rnacentral:ribozyme from 1 species
CGUCGUUGCAGCGACGAAAAAUAGGUUCUUAGGCUGCAAGCGUCACGAAUUUUCGUGGGUGAAC